CCUCACACCUGCGCUGGCCCCGCCCCGCCCAGGUGCGCUGCAUUUCCGGCCCGCCCCGCGCAGGCGCCGCCUCUUCUUCCGGCAGAGCCGCGGCGGCUCCGCUCCAGGCGGACGCUGGUAACGGACCGGGCGCUCCGGGGGAACCAGCGAGCGGGACGCGGCGCUGCAGCCCCGGCCCGGGGGCGGUGAGCUUGGGCUGAGCUGGAACCGGGGACAGGGCUCGCGGGAACCGGGGCUGCGGCCCUGCCGGGACCGCUGCCGGCCCGGGAGUCCCGGCCCCGGUGUCCGCCGCUUCCCGGGCGGCCGGGGCCGGAGGGUUCCGCUCCCCCGAGCUCCCGGAGCCCCGAGUCCGGCCUCCCCGGCCCCGUCCCGGCGGGCAGGAGCAGCAGCAGCAGCGCUGGAACCGAGCCGGGAGCUGCCGGAGCUCCGGAGCUCAAGUCCCGCGUUCCCCCGCGGCUGCUGCCGGGCCGGGCUGGCGGGGACACCCCGGGAAGGCUGGAGCCCCCGGCGGCCCCGGGGCUGCCCCGGCACCGUCUGCCCGGACCCGCCGCGCAGCUCGGGGCCCCCGAACACCGACCGGGAAGGGGAAGUGAAGGGACGUCUGGACUCUCACAGCCCUUCGGGCCCUGCCCCGAGGGGGCUGCACCCGCCCCGGACACACCGGGGGGCUCCGGGCUGAGCCCGCAACAAAACCGGCCAAAUGAGCCGCGUUUCAAGCCCCCAAAACACAGGGCUUGGUGUCUGCCCCAUCAGUGGCCACAUGAGCCUCGUUGGAACCACAGGAACAGGGGACUGAGUCUCCUCCUCCAGCCCCAGAACUGCCCCAGCAACACGGGCUCCAGCCCUUCCACACACAGCACUUUGUGUCCAGCCCUUCACAGGCCACAUGAGCCUGCUUGUCAGCCACAGGCACGUGAACCAGCCUCUGUGACCCACAGCCACCACUUAGUCUCUGUUUGUGACCCCCCAAUUCACGACUUAGUCUCUGUGACCCAGAUUCAUGACUUAGUCUGUUUGUGAGCCCCCUCAACUCCUGACUUAGUCUCUGUUUGUGAGCUCUGUGAUUCCCGACUUAGUCUCUUUUUUGUGUGGGUCACAGAGACUAACCCAUGAAUUGGGGGUCUCACAAACAGACUAAGUCCUAAUUUGGGUCACAGAGACUGUCAUGAAUCUGGGGUGCAGACAUUAAAUUGUGCAUUGAGGGCUCACCAAAAAGAGACUAAGUCAGGAACUGGAGAGCUCACAAACAGAGACUAAGUUGUGAACUGGGUUCACAGAGUCUAAGUCAUGAAUCUGGGUCACAGAGAAUAAGUCAGGAAUUGGGGGGGCUCACAAACAGAGACUAAUUAUCAAAUGUGGGGCCCAGAAACCAGAGACUAUGUCGUGAAUUGGGGGGGUCACAAACAGAGACUAAGUGGUGGCUGUGGGUCACAGAGGCUGGUUCACGUGCCUGUGGCUGACAAGCAGGCUCAUGUGGCCUGUGAAGGGCUGGACACAAAGUGCUGUGUGUGGAAGGGCUGGAGCCCGUGUUGCUGGGGCAGUUCUGGGGCUGGAGGAGGAGACUCAGUCCCCUGUUCCUGUGGUUCCAACGAGGCUCAUGUGGCCACUGAUGGGGCAGACACCAAGCCCUGUGUUUUGGGGGCUUGAAACGCGGCUCAUUUGGCCGGUUUUGUUGGGGGCUCAGCCCGGAGCCCCCCGGGUGUGUCCGGGGCGGGUGCAGCCCCCUCGGGGCAGGGCCCGAAGGGCUGUGAGAGCCCAGACGUCCCGUCCCUUCCCUUCCCUGUAGGUGUUCGGGGACUCGGGGGCCCCCAGCUGCGCGGCGGGUCCGGGCAGACGGUGCCGGGGCAGCCCCGGGGCCGCCGGGGGCUCCAGCCUUCCCGGGGUGUCCCCGCCAGCCCGGCCCGGCAGCAGCCGCGGGGGAACGCGGGACUUGAGCUCCGGAGCUCCGGCAGCUCCCGGCUCGGCUCCAGCGCUGCUGCUGCUGCUCCUGCCCGCCGGGACGGGGCCGGGGAGGCCGGACUCGGGGCUCCGGGAGCUCGGGGGAGCGGAACCCUCCGGCCCCGGCCGCCCGGGAAGCGGCGGACACCGGGGCCGGGACUCCCGGGCCGGCAGCGGUCCCGGCAGGGCCGCAGCCCCGGUUCCCGCGAGCCCCGUCCCCGGUUCCAGCUCAGCCCAAGCUCACCGCCCCCGGGCCGGGGCUGCAGCGCCGCGUCCCGCUCGCUGGUUCCCCCGGAGCGCCCGGUCCGUUACCAGCGUCCGCCUGGAGCGGAGCCGCCGCGGCUCUGCCGGAAGAAGAGGCGACGCCUGCGCGGGGCGGGCCGGAAAUGCAGCGCACCUGGGCGGGGCGGGGCCAGCGCAGGUGUGAGGGGCGGGGCCUCGUGGCGCAUGCGCGGGGCGGGCCCAGCGCAGGUGUGAGGGGCGGGGCCUGGGGUAUUUAAGGCGCGCGGCGGCGUCGGUUCCGGUUUCUCGGUGCGUGCGGGGGCGGCAGCGGCCGGUCCGGGCUCUCCCGGCGGGGCCCAGGCAGCUUGUGACAGUGAUUGAUUUACGAUCUGGCCCAAGGCCAAGCUCAAUGGAACAAGCACAAGCUGAAAUGAGCUGAACUGGAGCUGGAGCUGCAGAACAACUGGAACCAGAAGCAGCUGCAGAGGAGCUGGAACCGCAAACAGGCUUGAAGCUGCACAGGCUGGAGCUGGAGCUGAAAGAAACCAGAGAGAGAAACUGGAACCAGAACUCACCUUCAUGUGAAACACAAAAGGCACAAACACAAAGGGAAUAAUAAACGGUGCACAGCAAAUAAA